AACGAACGCUGGCGGCAUGCCUAACACAUGCAAGUCGAACGAGACCUCCGGGUCUAGUGGCGCACGGGUGCGUAACGCGUGGGAACCUGCCCUUAGGUUCGGAAUAACUCCCCGAAAGGGGUGCUAAUACCGGAUAAUGUCUUCGGACCAAAGAUUUAUCGCCCUUGGAUGGGCCCGCGUUGGAUUAGCUAGUUGGUAGGGUAAAAGCCUACCAAGGCGACGAUCCAUAGCUGGUCUGAGAGGAUGAUCAGCCACACUGGGACUGAGACACGGCCCAGACCCCUACGGGAGGCAGCAGUGGGGAAUAUUGGACAGUGGGCGGAGGCCUGAUCCAGCACUGCCGCGUGAGUGAUGAAGGCCUUAGGGUUGUAAAGCUCUUUUACCCGGGAUGAUAAUGACAGUACCGGGAGAAUAAGCUCCGGCUAACUCCGUG
rnacentral:rRNA from 1 species